UGGGGAAUAUUGCACAAUGGGCGGAAGCCUGAUGCAGCGACGCCGCGUGGGGGAUGAAGGCCUUCGGGUUGUAAACUCCUUUCGACAGGGACGAAGCUUUUGUGACGGUACCUGUAUAAGAAGCACCGGCUAACUACGUGCCAGCAGCCGCGGUAAUACGUAGGGUGCGAGCGUUGUCCGGAAUUACUGGGCGUAAAGAGCUCGUAGGUGGUUUGUCGCGUCGUCUGUGAAAUUCCGGGGCUUAACUCCGGGCGUGCAGGCGAUACGGGCUGACUUGAGUGCUGUAGGGGAGACUGGAAUUCCUGGUGUAGCGGUGAAAUGCGCAGAUAUCAGGAGGAACACCGAUGGCGAAGGCAGGUCUCUGGGCAGUAACUGACGCUGAGGAGCGAAAGCAUGGGUAGCGAACAGGAUUAGAUACCCUGGUAGUCCAUGCCGUANANNGGGGGGGCUCUAGGUGUAGGGGGCUUCCACGUCUUCUGUGCCGUAGCUAACGCAUUUAGCGCCCCGCCNGGGGAGUACGGGCCCCAGGGU
rnacentral:rRNA from 1 species